rnacentral:lncRNA from 1 species
CCCCUCAGCCUACAGUAUAGUUUAAAAGCCAUGUUCUUUGUUCUAUUGUUUCUUUUCAGGUUUGGAAAUGAAGAACUUGAGAGGAUCUUCGCAGGCCUGGAGAGCAACCAAAGGCUGCAGGGCCUCUAUGCGCUACUGUGGGCUAGGGCCCUGGAGUGGGCCAAGGCUGGGCCCCGUGGAACAGUUAUCAGCCCACAGUGCCAUUUGUGAGCUGCACCUGGAUGGAAAUUACUUGCAGUGUUCUGGAACACUGGCUCUCCUCAGACCAAUAGCAGAAUACGCAGAGAUGCAGAGGAAGGACCAGCCUACCUUGGCAUCACCACACGCUGGAAACCCCCCUCAGCUUCCCCAAGUGUGCCAGGGAGCAAGCUCAACUUCCAGUCAGAUUGUGAAAUCUUCCAAAAUUUUAACAGCGAAAAAGACCUCACAGAAGAAAAGUGGAAAAGGAGGUAUUUUGGUUGUGGUGUCUACGAUUCCUCCCCCUUCACGCUCAACUCACUCCCUGUGUGUCUCUAGUGCAUAAUUAUCCCAAACAAAGGCUUAAAAUCAAAUGGAGAAAAGGAAGAUUCAAUAUCUUGUGACCUUACACAAACCACCCAGGAACAGUUCCACUGUGUCUGCCAGAGAGAUGCAUCAUGGGCGCUUUUGACAUUCCAGAAAAGCGAGGUUUGGAACCAUUCUUCCAGUGGCUGCCAGUGAGGCCUCAGAAUUGGGGUUACUAAGAGUUAGAAGCAGGGUGACCAUGAAGGGGCUUUAAGAAAUUCCAACUCAGGAGAGAGACGAGGAGGAGCAGAAAGAAAGACGGGGAGGAGGAGGAGAGAGAGAGAGAGAGGGAGAGGGAGAGAGUUAACUCUGAGCAGGCUUGACUACCUCCGCAGCCUUCCAAGGACUACGGAGCAUCCCCUAUCCUGCUCCUGGCAGCCAUACCCCUGCCUGGCUCUCAGCGUCCCACUCUGCAAAGGGCGGGCCUGGCCUUACAUGCUCCUCUCCCAACGCUAACCCACUCAAGUUCUAAGCACU